CUCCACCCGCACCCGUGAAACAAAACCAGCCCCCGGUACUGAAACCCUAGCGCCAAUCGCGCUCCCCCGAAUCCUUCGCAGCCGCCGCCGUCCGCCAUCGCCUCCGUCCUCCUCGCGCGCCCCCAGCCUCGCCACCACCUAGCAAAUUUUUCCCCAAUCUGGGCCGCCGGCGCGAUCCUCUUCCCAUUCGUCUCCUAUGGAAACUCCCCAUUCUCAGCCACCACAGCCGCGCAAUCCUUCUUCGCGGCCCCUCCCCGAUCUCGUGUCCCUCCCUCUCCUCGAUCUCCUUCUCUCCCGGCUCUCCCGGCGCUCUACCUUCGGUGCCGCUCACCCCGCCAGCGCGAUGCGGUCCGCCGGAUUCCUCCCACUGCCUUGUGACGCCUGCCAUGGCUGCACGGCGGCAAAUGGUAGGAAAGGAGUCGGCGGCUUACUCGCGCGAGAUUGUUGCAAGGAGGAGCAAGGGAAGGUGCCACCACCAUGUGUGGCGACGGAUCCGGUUAUCAGUCCCGUCGCCACCAUCGGUUCUCUUGUUUAUCUACUCAGAGGAGACAACAGGACACACGAGUAGAGGAGGAGCAAUUACAGAUAGCAAGCUGCGAUGAGGAAGGGCAGCGGAAGCUACCACCAUGGCUACUGCGAGCAUCGGCAUGGUCAGCGUAGUCAGACUCAUCUGCAAUGCAGGAACUGAGCACCAUCGUUCGUGCUUGAGAGAAACAACCAUCAUAAAAACAGCUAUAAGUAAAGUACAUGAACUUUGUAAUUACCUAUUUACCUGUUCUGAGAGGAUUUUCUCAUUGAACGAUAUACUUCUGAUAUACUUGUGAUUAUCUACUUACACCAAUCCGUUGUUUUGGCAGUUAUAUGUUGCAAUUUAAUUUCCAUCUGACAAUAUACAACUUUGGAACUGUCUUGGUAUAUUUUCUGGUAUACUAUCGACUUUUUGUGCAUAUUUAUAUGCUUUUAAUGUAUUUUCACAGGAAUAACUUUGUGGGGGCUGAAAACAAUCUUUUACUUGGUCCAUCGAUCAAGUAUUAUUUUUAAAAACAAACCGAGCAAGAAGAGUGCUAAAAUUGUUGUUUCAUGUUUCUUGGCGCGAAGCGUCAUCUCUUCUGCCAGCUCCUAGGGGUGGAUGCAGAAAUGACCCAAUGCUAGAUUUAAUAGAUUCUCUCGUCUUUGUUUUCUCUAAACCUGAGCCAAAUUCUUUGGUUUCUUUUUUUCACUCACAAUCAUGUAACCUUCUAGAUCCUGUAGGAGUUCUGCACACAAUAUUCUAAUGUAGUCAUUGUGACUUAGACCGCUUUGAUGCAGCCAAAACAGUCCAGGGAUGAAUGGACUAUUAUUUGGUGUUAUCUCCUUUCCCUCUGAUUUGAAUGAGGAAAGGGAGCUAUUAGUCCAAGUAUCAAUUUUAAGCAGGUGUUUAUGCCUCCAUGGACGAUUUUCCAUGCUCUUCUUAGAGUAUGGGCAUAUGAACACACACAGUUUCAGUUACAGACUUACAGUGUCAUCAUACAGUGGCAAUAGGUGCUUUCAUGUUGAUGUGAUACUUUAAGAGAGAGCUGGGGAACUAAAUAAAUGCAUAGACUUUCAGAGGAGAUGAAUAAAUUGUGGUUAGUGUACAUCUAUUUAUAGAAUAUUUUGAUCAGGACGGCUAGGGAAAAAGGGAACCUGCUUACAUGAGCAAUGAAUUAUUUUACACAAGAUGAUUUUCAGAGCAUGUCAAAAUUGGCCUAUGCUUGUGAACAAUCCAUCUCAGUGUGUUGUUUUGUGCAUUCUAGAUGUACUACUACAAUAUUCAAGGUGAGGUUACUGACUAACCAAAUUAAAAGAGAUGAGUUUGUUCUAUUCAAGUUUCUUGUGCAUUCUAUUUUGGGGAAACAGUUACUAUAAGAAGCUUUCUUCCCAAAACUGAAGUAUAUUGUUACGACGGAUUCUGUAACUAUUUGACUUGGUUUUGUAUCGACAGUUAUGGCGCAAAAAUUCACAGCGGCCUUAUUAUUCAAUGAAAUAUAACCAGGAGCAGAGGGACGAGUUCAAUGCCCAGUGCCAUUUAAUGAAACGCAGGUGAUGGGUGUUCUUUUUAUACUUUGUUUCUCCAUAUAUUUCUGAUCCCACCUUGGAUCGCUUAUUGCUGAAUAUUUUUUGCUUACUUCUUUUUUUGAUUGAACUAACAACUUCAUCCAAUUAUGGUUAUUGGACUGGCUGUAGUCGUUGUUUAGUGUAAUCUGGAAGGGUCAUCAUGCGUACUGCCACUUACGAAGCAUUGCUUCCGAGUGUAAUCUGAAAAUUAGAAUUUAAAGUAAUAUUGUUUCUCUUUGCUUGUAAUGUAAGAUGGAUAAUUCAUGAAAUAUCAUUUGACUUAUUUCUCGACUGCAGGAUGUGGUUAAUGUAAGAUGGAUAAUUCCUGAAAUAUGAAGGAUUUGUCGAUACAUAGUAGGUCUAAUUUUUUUAUCUUGCCGAAACUUGUACAUAUAUCUACCUCUUAAACUUUUUUUUUGCUUCAUUCAUGUAUAUUUAUCUGCUAUCACAUUUUGAUGUUUGUGAGCCAAUCUUGGCACGGCGUGUGGUGCCUCCUUUAACUAGUGCUCCGUGGAACCCUGGCGAGGCGUCCCUUUGGCCUGCUCACUAACUCCAGUGAUAUGUCCAUUGUAAGGGAUUCAGACCAGAAAGGAGGGAGUUCUGAUUUACAAGUUGUAUUGCAGGCGUUUUCACCUCCCGCCGUUUCUUCUGGUGCUCCCACGUGUUCAAGUCGCCGGUCAGAUCUCCUGUUUUGUGCGCAUCCUUGGUUACCGGUUGGUGUUGGAUCCCUCCCGCGAAAAUAAACCAGAUUAUAUGGGAGCAUGAGGGGUACUGCACAUAUGCAUUUCAAGGUUUUGUUUUCAGUUAUCUCUUUCCACAUUCUUGUGCUUCCCUUGGCUUUGGUAGCACGAUAAUUCUUUAAAUCAAACAUACAAAUCCAAGCCCUAUGGUUGCUAAUACAUUGUUCAGUGUUCAGGUCACCAACUGCUGCAAAACAAUAUUGUGAUUUACUCUGUUAUGAUAUUGAAAAAUAGUUGAGGGUCCAUUAUGUCCUUAUCUGAUCAGAUCGAUGAUUAAAGCAUGUUUUCUUUCCAGAAAGCUACUCCCUCCGUUCCUUUUUAAUU